GGAGGGGCCUCGGGACGUCCCGCCGGAGGAUGGCGGCGGCGGUCACGGUGGACGCCGCGGGCAGCUGCGCUACCUGCAGGUGGGUCUUGACCACCACGGCGGGUUGGCACGAGCUACGGCGAGCUUCACUGCUGCGGCGGCGUUGAUUUCCCAAAGCAAGGGGCAGUGCGGCAGGGGCAUGUUGCAACUUGCAAGAAGCCAGCAUCCGCAUCCCAGAUGCUCGCUAGGGCGUGGGCGCGCUAGUCCACUGGAGCAACGCGCGCUCUGCGACGGCGUGCCAUUCCUCCGCGUGUGUCUUGCGCUAUCUUGCGCGACGGCAAGGCCGAGCACAUGCUUCCUGACAAUGACAAGAGAUAAGUGAACAUAGUAGCAGCCAGCGACCAUCCGGCAACACUCAGCAAUACCCUCCUGUAUUUCUCUCGUACGUUUUAUAGCUCUCUACCCACAAGCCCAACUGAAGUUAUAGAACAUCAAAGCACUAUUGUGCAGAGUAAAUCUUUGAUUCCAUUCUUGAUUUUGUUCAGUUGAUUUAUGGUUGCCAAAUUCA